UACGAAGGGGGGCAAGCGUUGUCCGGAAUCAUUGGGCGUAAAGCGCGUGUAGGCGGCUCGGUAAGUCCGCUCUGAAAGUCCAGGGCUCAACCCUGGGAUGCGGGUGGAUACUGCCGGGCUCGAGUCCGGAAGAGGCGAGUGGAAUUCCCGGUGUAGCGGUGAAAUGCGCAGAUAUCGGGAGGAACACCAAUGGCGAAGGCAGCUCGCUGGGACGUGACUGACGCUGAGACGCGAAAGCGUGGGGAGCAA
rnacentral:rRNA from 1 species